rnacentral:rRNA from 1 species
GACGAACGCUGGCGGCGUGCUUAACACAUGCAAGUCGAACGGAAAGGCCCCCUUGUGGGGUACUCGAGUGGCGAACGGGUGAGUAACACGUGGAUAACCUACCCUUCACUUUUGGCUAACUUCAUGAAACUGGGGCUAUUACCGGAUAAGCGCUCCUGCUGCAUGGUUGAGGUUGGAAAGUUUCGGCGGUUGGGGCUGGACUCGCGGCUUAUCAGCUUGUUGGUGGUGUAGUGGCUCACCACGGCUUUGACGGGUAGCCGGCCUGAGAGGGUGACCGGCCACAUUGGGACUGAGAUACGGCCCAGACUCCUACGGGAGGCAGCAGUGGGGAAUAUUGCACAAUGGGCGGAAGCCUGAUGCAGCAACGCCGCGUGCGGGAUGACGGCCUUCGGGUUGUAAACCGCUUUCGCCUGUGACGAAGCGUGAGUGACGGUAAUGGGUAAAGAAGCACCGGCUAACUACGUG